UGAAUGCCAGCCGUUGGGAAGUUUACUUUUCAGUGGCGCAGCUAACGCUUUAAGCAUUCCGCCUGGGGAGUACGGUCGCAAGAUUAAAACUCAAAGGAAUUGACGGGGGCCCGCACAAGCGGUGGAGCAUGUGGUUUAAUUCGACGCAACGCGCAGAACCUUACCAGCCCUUGACAUGUCUAUGACCGGCACCAGAGAUGGAGCCUUCCCUUCGGGGCAUAGAGCACAGGUGCUGCAUGGCUGUCGUCAG
rnacentral:rRNA from 1 species